UUGGAGGGCAAGUCUGGUGCCAGCAGCCGCGGUAAUUCCAGCUCCAAUAGCGUAUAUUAAAGUUGUUGCAGUUAAAAAGCUCGUAGUUGAAUUUCGAGAUCAGUACACUGGUCGUGCCUUCGGUAUGCACUGGUGUCACUGGUUUCUCCCUUCUGAAGAACCGUCAUGUCAUUAAGUUGGUGUGGCGGGGAAUCAGGACUGUUACUUUGAAAAAAUUAGAGUGUUUAAAGCAGGC
rnacentral:rRNA from 1 species